rnacentral:rRNA from 1 species
AACGAACGCUGGCGGCAGGCCUAACACAUGCAAGUCGAGCGCCCUUUCGGGGGCGCGGCGGACGGGUGAGUAACGCGUGGGAAUAUGCCCUUCUCUACGGAAUAGCCUCGGGAAACUGAGAGUAAUACCGUAUACGCCCUAUGGGGGAAAGAUUUAUCGGGGAAGGAUUAGCCCGCGUUGGAUUAGGUAGUUGGUGGGGUAAUGGCCUACCAAGCCGACGAUCCAUAGCUGGUUUGAGAGGAUGAUCAGCCACACUGGGACUGAGACACGGCCCAGACUCCUACGGGAGGCAGCAGUGGGGAAUCUUAGACAAUGGGGGCAACCCUGAUCGAGCCAUGCCGCGUGAGUGAUGAAGGCCUUAGGGUUGUAAAGCUCUUUCAGCUGGGAAGAUAAUGACGGUACCAGCAGAAGAAGCCCCGGCUAACUCCGUG